rnacentral:rRNA from 1 species
GACGAACGCUGGCGGCGUGCUUAACACAUGCAAGUCGAACGGCAAGGCCCUGCUUGUGUGGGGUGCUCGAGUGGCGAACGGGUGAGUAACACGUGAGUAACCUGCUCUUGACUUUGGGAUAACUUCAGGAAACUGGGGCUACUAUCGGACAGCAGCUCCUGCUGCAUGGUGGGGGUUGGAAAGUUUCGGCGGGUGCGGAUGGACUCGCGGCUUAUCGGCUUGUUGGUCGGGUAGUGGCUGACCAAGGCUUUGACGGGUAGCCGGCAUGAGAGGGUGACCGGCCACAAUGGGACUACGAUACGGCGCAGAGUGCUACGGGAGGCAGCGGGGGCGAGUAUUGCACAAUGGGCGGGAGCCUGAUGCAGAGACGUCGGGGGCGGGAUGACGGCCUGCUGGGUGUGAACCGCUUUAGCCUGUGACGAAGCGUGAGUGACGGUAAUGGGUGAAGAAGCACCGGCUAACUACGUG